CAGUCGCCACGGUAAUACGUAGGGAGCCAGCGUUGUUCGGAAUUACUGGGCGUAAAGCGCACGUAGGCGGCUUUGUAAGUUAGAGGUGAAAGCCUGGAGCUCAACUCCAGAAUUGCCUUUAAGACUGCAUCGCUUGAAUCCGGGAGAGGUGAGUGGAAUUCCGAGUGUAGAGGUGAAAUUCGUAGAUAUUCGGAAGAACACCAGUGGCGAAGGCGGCUCACUGGUCCAUAACUGACGCUGAGGUGCGAAAGCGUGGGGAGCAAACAGGAUUAGAUACCCGAGUAGUCCCUGUCUCUUAUAC
rnacentral:rRNA from 1 species